GCUCAUCUCAUUCCCAUAGAGGCCACCAAACAACUAUCAACUGUGCCGUCGGAUCCCUGCCGCCGGGGCGACCAUCAACCACCACAUCGUAGAAUCGCAGCCCACCCCAUCGCCGGAGAUGAGGCGCCCCAAUCCACCUUCCAUCAGCUCCCCGUGCGCUCGCAGCGCCGAGUCCUACCCCCGGUGGCCCGGUCGUGGGAAGGACACGCUCGCCCCUCAAAGACAUCUUCCUGGUGUCCCCGCAACGGCGAACGCAUCUGUGUGGUGCAGGGGUUCUUCAGCUUCGGACGCGGGCCUCUCGACGAGGAGUACGUCUCCUGUUUCUCCUCUCACGGGGCAGUGCAUAGACGCGGAGUUUUGUUUGGCGAGCGCAACUAUCGAUGAGAAACGGCGAGGCAACUCAGCGGCCAGGUCUUGCUGCAGGGUAGUGAAGGAUUGACGAGCCAAAUAGAGAAAGAUCUGGUAACAAAUGAGAAUGAGAUCAAGGCUGAGGUAUUGUACAUCCAAAGAUCAGACUUGUUUUGUAUUGCUUGAACUGACCGAUGAGGUCCUCUUUCAACUGCUCCAUUUUAUGUUCGAUCAUGCAAUGUUCACAAGCAGUGACCUUGGUUCUGCAUAAAAGUAUCAAGGUGGCAUGCAAUCGUCAGUAUAAGAGGUUGAGGUUUCCUCUUUCUAAUUACAACGAUUACGCCUUGGUUUGUUUUGCAUAAUGGGGAGGGGUUGUAUACCGGUUGACCCUGAUGCCUGGAAGCAAAGAAAAGGCUAGAAGGUUGGUUCCCAAUCAUAAUUGCAUACCUCGGUUUCCGUGGGAACACUCAUACUUCAUGUUCCUGUACACUGUAAUAUGGCCCUGUUAGUCAGUGGAACAGAGAUCAAAAUGAUGCAUCUGUUUUUGGUAAAUGAUGAUUGUUGAUGUUUUUCUAUAUUAAUAAAAAAAAUGUGUGUUUGUUGAUAUUGCUAUGCUGUGUCCAUUCUGCUUUUUGGGCAUAUGCUUAUUUGUAGGUAUGUUGCUCCCUCCCUCUUUUAAUAUAUUUGUAGUUGUUUUCUAAUUGUUUGUGAAAACAGAUUUAUACUGUACAUGCAUAUGAUGUUUUGCCUUCUAUUUCUAAAUUUACAAUUUAUGAUUCUAAAAUAUCCUAUGCGAUAUUGUUUUUUACUCUUUUGUAUUGGCACACCAAGACUGGUCGCGCGGCCACCUCUUUGAGGUCGAGUUCGCAUGCACACUGCAUACUGUCGGGCCUGGAAAUCUACUCAAUAGGUAUAACUCUGAAUUUUCCCCUUACUAGAGGAAGUGGAGCUUUUAUAGUUCAGAAGAUAUCCUUUCAGUUCAUUUUGCUGCAGUCUGGGGCCCUUUUUGUACCUGAACUGAUUGACUAGCCCUAUCUACAACCUUCAGACAUGCAAUUUCUCCAUGAAGCUCUAAGUUUUCGUCUCUCGCCACGAUCCUUGAGUACUGUGGAGCAGCUUCUUCAUCCAGCCUCUUGUUUUCGUCUUCAGCAGGGUCAGUGAAGUUUGUACUAUGUUUUUAGGCAGUGUAUGGUUGUCGAACUUUCUCCUGUUUGCACUUAGUUUCAUUUAGGCACUCAGUAUUUAGCAAAAGUACCACCAAUGAUGCAUAUUAGCACACUAACAGACCGCAUUUUGAUCAUAUGUUCCUCUUGUUUUUUUCUUGAUGCUAUUUUAUCCAGUAAUAAUUUUAUCCAAAUAUAAGAUGAUAGGGACAUAAACAUAUAGAUGCGAUACAAGUUCGUAUGCUUCAGACUACAAGGCGAAUUGCUACAUAAACAGCAGAGAGAGAGCGUGGGGACGGCCUGCCCCACAUCCCAUGAGGCUGGGGUCAACAGAAAUUCCAAACUUAAGCUGCGGUCGGAGAUCUAUGAUUCUUCUUCAUCGAAAGAAGAAACACCUUUUCUGUCAUCCAUGUCUACAUACAUGCAUGCCUGCAAAAGGAAACAUAAUCUCUGCAUUGUGUUACAUUCAGGAGCAUGCAUUUUAUCCCAGUUUUGUACUUCUGAAUUUUUUUGAUUUUAAAUCAAAGGAUGUAAUUGCAAAUGUUGAACUCCCAAGUAGAAAAUAGACAUAUUGAACUUAAUUUUAACUGAUGCUUCUCUUCAUUAUUUUGCCUUUCUUUUCCUUUCCUUCACAGGUAGCUGCCCUAUUCAGGGAGCAGGUUUUUUAUCCAUGAAAGUUAUGUCCUUUCCCUGUUAAUUGUACAUCAUUUCUUUUUUAGGAACAACACACAGAUCAUCUACACGGGCAACAGACGCACAAGAGUAGCUGUCGCAUUGUACCACCUCAUCGCCGAGGCCAACCCUGCCGGCAGGUCCAUGCCGCACUCCACAGAAAGAAAAUCUGACUACAGUGUAAUGAUAGUAUCUGGUCACCGUUUCAUCAAUGUCUAAAAUUAUGCAAGACAAUCAGUCUAUAAAUAAAUAGUUGGGAAGUUUCUCCUACCUAGCGAGGCGUCCAUAUAUAGUUGCCACAGAGACAAACCCAACUAGGCGGUCAACAUCUCAGGUCCUUUGCGGUUCUGUAUAUCCAACUGCAGUAGCCAUUACCAACCUAUUGUAGAUCACUUUAUGCACGUACCAACUAGGUGUACCUUUUUAUUGUAUGAACUACUGUACUUUGCAACUAAUCAAGUCUUGGGACGACUCACCAAACAUUACAAAAAAUCAAAUAACUUACCAAUCCAUAGAGCGCGGCGUGCGCGCACUACCCGCUAGUAAAACUGUCCUUCAACCCUAAACUAGAUGGAUAUGCGCGGUUUGCUGCACCGUGAAUUGCUACGGUGAUUGUAGGAGGGAUUGUUGUGAUGAUCUAUUUGUUACAUGCCAAAGUAUUGGAGCUCCA